rnacentral:rRNA from 2 species
AACCACUUCGGUGGGGAUUAGUGGCGAACGGGUGAGUAACACGUGGGCAAUCUGCCCUUCACUCUGGGACAAGCCCUGGAAACGGGGUCUAAUACCGGAUAUCACUCCUGCAGGCAUCUGCGGGGGUCGAAAGCUCCGGCGGUGAAGGAUGAGCCCGCGGCCUAUCAGCUUGUUGGUGAGGUAAUGGCUCACCAAGGCGACGACGGGUAGCCGGCCUGAGAGGGCGACCGGCCACACUGGGACUGAGACACGGCCCAGACUCCUACGGGAGGCAGCAGUGGGGAAUAUUGCACAAUGGGCGAAAGCCUGAUGCAGCGACGCCGCGUGAGGGAUGACGGCCUUCGGGUUGUAAACCUCUUUCAGCAGGGAAGAAGCGAAAGUGACGGUACCUGCAGAAGAAGCGCCGGCUAACUACGUGCCAGCAGCCGCGGUAAUACGUAGGGCGCAAGCGUUGUCCGGAAUUAUUGGGCGUAAAGAGCUCGUAGGCGGCUUGUCACGUCGGGUGUGAAAGCCCGGGGCUUAACCCCGGGUCUGCAUUC